GUCAACUUGAAUUCUAGUUGGUUGUUUCUAAUAUGUGACAGACACACCUUCACCACUUUCUGAUUGGCCCAGAUCAACUUUCCCCAGAAGACAAACCAAACCACGACACCCUUGUGCAGCCUAUUUGGAUCAAAGUGACACGGUCUGAAACAUCUGGAUCUAAAAGGCGACAAAGGAGACUUUCAUUGUCUAGCCACUGAGCGCUCCGCAGACCUGGGAUUCUCCGUUUCCUGUCCAUCUUUUCUUUCUAGUGACACUGAGUUCCCAGCCAAAGUACAGCCAUGAAGAUCCUUUGCCUUCUCUUCACUGCUCUCUUGGUGUUCCAAGUUGCACCCGGCCUGGCACAGAGUAUUUGGACCCCGUCGCAGUGCGGACGCUUUGGGGGCGAAUGCCUCUUGCCCUGUCCCCGCUAUACUAGACGCUUUGGGAAGUGUGUCACACGGGGCUUCUGCUGCUUGCGAAGUCGUGGCUGACAGUCCUGCGGACGGUUCAGGCAGGAUCUCUGGGAGUCUGGUGCACCUUCUCACCUCUAAAAGUGUUAGAUCCUGCUUCAAGGGCAGUCUGAAGUUCAUCUGAGCUGAUCAGAGCCAUGUGUGCUGGAGAAAUCCAAACAGGACAGUAUCUGUAGUUGACCAAAGAUUGCAACGUCCCAUUUAAUAAAAGCUGUUGUGACAUCACA